UAGGGAAUCUUCCACAAUGGGCGCAAGCCUGAUGGAGCAACACCGCGUGAGUGAAGAAGGGUUUCGGCUCGUAAAGCUCUGUUGUUAAAGAAGAACACGUAUGAGAGUAACUGUUCAUACGUUGACGGUAUUUAACCAGAAAGUCACGGCUAACUACGUGCCAGCAGCCGCGGUAAUACGUAGGUGGCAAGCGUUAUCCGGAUUUAUUGGGCGUAAAGAGAGUGCAGGCGGUUUUCUAAGUCUGAUGUGAAAGCCUUCGGCUUAACCGGCGACGUGCAUCGGAAACUGGAUAACUUGAGUGCAGAAGAGGGUAGUGGAACUCCAUGUGUAGCGGUUGAAUGCGUAGAUAUAUGGAAGAACACCAGUGGCGAAGGCGGCUACCUGGUCUGCAACUGACGCUGAGACUCGAAAGCAUGGGUAGCGAACAGG
rnacentral:rRNA from 1 species